rnacentral:tRNA from 4 species
GGGCGGUUAGCUCAGUGGUAGAGCACUACGUUGACAUCGUAGGGGUCACUAGUUCGAACCUAGUACCGCCCACCA